UACGUAGGGGGCAAGCGUUGUCCGGAAUCAUUGGGCGUAAAGAGCGUGUAGGCGGCUCGAUAAGUCCGGUGUGAAACCUUGGGGCUCAACCCCAAGCCUGCACUGGAUACUGCCGAGCUAGAGUCCGGGAGGGGAGAGCGGAAUUCCUAGUGUAGCGGUGAAAUGCGCAGAUAUUAGGAAGAACACCGGUGGCGAAGGCGGCUCUCUGGAACGGUACUGACGCUGAGACGCGAAAGCGUGGGGAGCGAACAGG
rnacentral:rRNA from 1 species